GCAUUGACGCUUCCGUCGCUCAAUCUUUCUGCCAAUUUUAAAGCGACGUUGAAGGUUAUCCACUCCGAGGUCCUUUCUUUGCUGGCCAAGAAUGCUGAACUAAAGGCCAAACGUACUCAAUAUCUUCAAGCCGUAGCUGAGAAAGAGUCUUUGCGUAUGGAGAUUAACAAAGCUGAGGACGAGUUGAAAGAAAUCUCUUCCGAAG
rnacentral:lncRNA from 1 species